GACGAACGCUGGCGGCGUGCCUAAUACAUGCAAGUCGAACGCAGUGGGGACGGGUGAGUAACACGUGGGUAACCUCCCAUCAGAGGGGAUAACCCUUGGAAACAGGUGCUAAACCGAUACUGAUGGAUGAACCCGCGGUGCAUUAGCUAGUUGGUGGGGUAACGGCUCACCAAGGCGACGAUCCGUAGCUGGUCUGAGAGGAUGACCGGCCACACUGGGAAUGAGACACGGCCCAGACUCCUACGGGAGGAAGCAGUGGGGAAUCUUGGACAAUGGGCGAAAGCCUGAUCCAGCCAGGCCGAGUGAGUGAAGAAGGUCGUCGGGUUGUAAAGCACUUUUGGCAGGGAAGCGGUACCUGAAGAAUAAGCAACGGCUAACUACGUGCCAGCAGCCGCGGUAAUAC
rnacentral:rRNA from 1 species